rnacentral:rRNA from 1 species
GAAAUAAGCAUAUCAAUAAGCGGAGGAAAAGAAACCAACCGGGAUUGCCUUAGUAACGGCGAGUGAAGCGGCAAAAGCUCAAAUUUGAAAUCUGGUACCUUCGGUGCCCGAGUUGUAAUUUGGAGAGGGCAACUUUGGGGCCGUUCCUUGUCUAUGUUCCUUGGAACAGGACGUCAUAGAGGGUGAGAAUCCCGUGUGGCGAGGAGUGCGGUUCUUUGUAAAGUGCCUUCGAAGAGUCGAGUUGUUUGGGAAUGCAGCUCUAAGUGGGUGGUAAAUUCCAUCUAAAGCUAAAUAUUGGCGAGAGACCGAUAGCGAACAAGUACAGUGAUGGAAAGAUGAAAAGAACUUUGAAAAGAGAGUGAAAAAGUACGUGAAAUUGUUGAAAGGGAAGGGCAUUUGAUCAGACAUGGUGUUUUGUGCCCUCUGCUCCUUGUGGGUAGGGGAAUCUCGCAUUUCACUGGGCCAGCAUCAGUUUUGGUGGCAGGAUAAAUCCAUAGGAAUGUAGCUUGCCUCGGUAAGUAUUAUAGCCUGUGGGAAUACUGCCAGCUGGGACUGAGGACUGCGACGUAAGUCAAGGAUGCUGGCAUAAUGGUUAUAUGCCGCCCGUCUUGAA